CCUACGGGUGGCAGCAGUGAGGAAUAUUGGUCAAUGGCCGUAAGGCUGAACCAGCAAAGUCGCGUGAAGGAAGAAGGUUCUAUGGUUUGUAAACUUCUUUUAUAGGGGAAUAAAGGUAUCCACGUGUGGAUAUUUGCAUGUACCCUAUGAAUAAGCAUCGGCUAACUCCGUGCCAGCAGCCGCGGUAAUACGGAGGAUGCGAGCGUUAUCCGGAUUUAUUGGGGUUAACGGGUGCGUAGGUUGUUUUUUAAGUCAGAGGUGAAAGUUUGUGGCACAACCAUAAAAGUGCAGUUGAAACUGGAAGACUUGAGUGUGUUUGAGGUAGGUGGAAUGCGUGGUGUAGCGGUGAAAUGCAUAGAGAUCACGAAGAACUCCGAUUGCGAAGGCAGCCUACUAGGCCAUAACUGACACUGAAGCACGAAAGCGUGGGGAUCAAACAGGAUUAGAUACCCUUGUAGUC
rnacentral:rRNA from 1 species